GCCUGGCUGGCUCAGUCAGUAGAGCAUGUGACUUUCAAUCUUAGGGUCAUGAGUUCAAGUCCCACUUUGGGCA
rfam:Felis catus isolate Cinnamon breed Abyssinian chromosome D4, whole genome shotgun sequence.